rnacentral:rRNA from 1 species
AAACCAACUGGGAUUGCCUUAGUAACGGCGAGUGAAGCGGCAAAAGCUCAAAUUUGAAAUCUGGUACCUUUGGUGCCCGAGUUGUAAUUUGGAGAGUACCACUUUGGGACUGUACUUUGCCUAUGUUCCUUGGAACAGGACGUCAUGGAGGGUGAGAAUCCCGUGUGGCGAGGGUGUCAGUUCUUUGUAAAGGGUGCUCGAAGAGUCGAGUUGUUUGGGAAUGCAGCUCUAAGUGGGUGGUAAAUUCCAUCUAAAGCUAAAUACAGGCGAGAGACCGAUAGCGAACAAGUACAGUGAUGGAAAGAUGAAAAGAACUUUGAAAAGAGAGUGAAAAAGUACGUGAAAUUGUUGAAAGGGAAGGGCAUUUGAUCAGACAUGGUGUUUUGCGCCCCUUGCCUCUCGUGGGCUUGGGACUCUCGCAGCUCACUGGGCCAGCAUCGGUUUUGGCGGCCGGAAAAAACCUAGGGAAUGUGGCUCUGCGCCUCGGUGUAGAGUGUUAUAGCCCUGGGGAAUACGGCCAGUCGGGACCGAGGACUGCGAUACUUGUUAUCUAGGAUGCUGGCAUAAUGGUUAUAUGCCGC